GAGGAGAGAACGAAGGAAAAAAGCCGGGACAAGAAGAAAGAAAUCUUCCUUUUGCAAAAGGAGGCAUAAUGUGGCUUAGAGGUUGCCAAAGCAAAAGAACAGUCCCCCUCUCCGCCCUGGGGGAGCCGGGGAGGAUGUGCAGCCCCACUCCUCCUGCUCGGCGGAGCCUCGCGCGCGCAGAGCCUAGCGCGAUUCGCGCCCUCAUUACCACUACAAAGCGCGGGCCAGACCAAUCCCCUUUCUAAUGCACCAUUUUCGAAUGAGAACAUCAAGAGGCCAGAAACUUCCAAGUCAGCUUGCAGACGCAGACGCCUCCUGGGGUCCUGGCUUUAAGAACCAGAUGCCAACAUUCCCGGACAGUUUAUGGCAUCCGGAUCCCUCAAGGGUGCUCAUCUGCAGUUGAGAGUCUAAUAAAUGGCAUUAACAAAGCGUUUCAACGACUACCACGGCUUAACAGUGGCUCCUCCCCUGUCCUGCCACCAUUCAGGCUGUUAUUCCUUCCAGGAUUCCCGCACCGUCCUGUGUGCCCAGAGCUCUCUAGAGCACCAGGUAGAACUCCCUGCUAAAUCCAAUUGCUUGCAACCUUCUGAUCCCCUUUUAGGGAGAUCACUUUUCAGCUUGGUUCAAAGAAAGCAAAGUUUGGGAAGUUUGGCGGAGGGGCCGAUUUAACUACGGACACUGCAAAUAUUUUGUUACAAAUGCUGUGAAGUGCCCCGAUUUGUGGCUGCGUUAGCUUUCACAAAGGAUUUUCCUGUGUCUUUUGUUCCGGUCACCAAAUUAAAAAAGAAAACUUGAGCGAGAGAUAAGGUCUCGGAAAACAAUCUUGGGCCGCCCGCGAGCUGGCGGGAGCAGGGCUGGCGUCGCCUUGUCUGCGCCGCCCCGAGGCGCGAGUCUUGGGGUCCGGCCACCGCAGGGAGCCUAGGUCAUGCAGGGACCCUCCCUCCAUCCCCUGUGCGCCCCCGCGCCACAGCGCAGCACACAGGCCACCCCUCCUCUGCCCACCAGCGUCCGUGGGAAUCUGCUCCAGCCAGCGACAAGGGCGGGCUUGUCCGGAAUCUAACUGCAUCUUAAUAUUAUAAUGCGGCACCAAAAGGCAAAACCCGAGGCCCCGGCUUGCAGUCCCUAACAAGAAACACAUUGUGUGCGCUUUUUCUUUUUUGGCUCAAGCCGCGUUCGCGCGCCGGCCCCUCCGCAGCGAGCCAAGUCCAUGACUUCAGUGAGGAGGAACCCGCCUGCCUCGCACCACGUGCGCUCCCAGCUGGGGCAGCCGCCCUGUGAGCCCUGUCCGGGUCCCUGGGACGGGCUAGGGACUGGCCGGGACGCACUUGUCCUGGGCACAGGACAAGGGCUUUGGGGCACAGCCCCUUUUCGGCCGGGGAGGCAGGCGAACCGAUCGCCCAGGCACUGGUGUUACCCAGGCGGCGCCAGCGCGAGUUGGCUGGUGGACAGAUUUUUCAAUAGUUUCAACUCCUUCUUCCCCUUGCCGCAUUUUUAAGGCGUUUACUCCCAGAUUCAGCCCUCUCCUCAUAAUAAUGACAGUUUGCAGACUUUUCCUCUCCAGUUAGAGAGAGUGCGUGCGCGAGUCCUGCAAGACCCCAGCCGCGCGUCACCACGAACCAUUCUGCGGGAGGGGCAGGACCUAAGGCUGUAUCUCUAGGAGGGAACGUGGAGACACCGCGGGCGGAGGGGACCUGGAGGAGUUCUUGGAGGAGCAGUCCUAGGCACGGGGCGAAGGAUUUACGCUGUAGCUGGUGGAGCGCACAUCGCCCUGGUUAGCUCUGCGGUGGGUCCUGGGCUCUUCCCGGCCUCUUCCUGCCUCCGCUGACAUCAGGGCCUCUCCUGUUUAGUCCUAGGCCUGCCCUUCAUCAGGACUCCGCAGAAAAAGAUGGGUAAAUUAAGGCGUACAUUUAAUUUUAACCAUCAUGCCUGACUUUCUAGGAUUCUGUGUGAAGAAUACAGAGACAGACGUUCCCUUUCAAAGAAAAAAGGGCAACACGAAGGCCCUCUUUAAGGAGAGAGUAAACAUUCACUUUAGGUAAAAAAUAGUCUUUUACACGCCUGUGCACGGCACACCUCUUUUGCUGUUCACCUUGACCCCAAGACUUUGGAAAGGCUGCCCCCAUUUCAGAGAGGAAGAAACGCAGGCACACGUGAAUGACAGACUCCUCUGUGGUGGCCUAGACUCCAGCCAGCACUUCCUAGGACAGCCUGCCAUUGUGCAAAGUCACCAUGUAACAAAUGCAGACAUCUCUGAGAUCACCAUGCAGUGAGGAAGUCCAAGAUGGUGGCAGGAAGAGGCCACAUGGAAAGGGCUAAAAAAGGGGCCAGCCUCAGUCAUCCCGGCUGAGCACCUGGCUGGGAAUAAAAGAGGACUCCGUGGAUGUCCAGCCCAGUAAGAUGACCUCAGCCCCAGCCACCAACUGACCACGCACACAAGACAUAGUGAGGCUGCCUGCUGGAGCCUGGCCAGUGGGACUGUAGAGUAACUCAUUGUCGUAAGCCAAUACUUUUGUGGGUGAUUUGUUUCAUAAAGUGGCCUCCAAAAGAGAAAUUGGGGGUACAGAGUUUCUAGGUACUAUCUUGUGCAUUCAUUGUAGUUGUAAUCAUUGAUAAUUUAUUUGUGUGUUUUUCCUGAAAGUUUUAUAACAACAUGAUUUAUAGUGUAUAAAAUAAACAUAUCCCUACAUCCAACAAACUUGCCUUUUUUUUUUUUUUUUUUUUUUUUUUUUUGAGACAGGGUCUCAUUCUGUUGCCCAGGCUGGAGUACAGUGGCAUGAUCAUGGUUCACUGCAGCCUCAACCUUUUGGGCUCAAGCAAUCCUCCUACCUCAGCCUCCCAAGUAGCUGGGACUAUGGGCAUGUGUCACAGCACCCAGCUAUUUAUUUCUUUUUUGAGACGGUUUCACUCCUGUCACCCAGGCUGGAGUGCAGUGGUGCAAUAGCUCACUGCAACCUCUACCUCCUGGGCUCAAGCAGUUCUGCUGCCUUAGUCCCCUGACUAGCUGGGACUACAGGCACAUGCCACUGCACCUGGCUAAUUUUUGUAUUUUUUUAGAGGCGAGGUUUCGUCAUGUUGCCUUGGCUGUUGUUAAACUCCUGAGCUCAAGUGGUCCUCCUGCCUUGGUCUCCCAAACUGUUGGGAUUACAGAUGUGAGCCACUGCACCUGGCUAAUUUUUGUAUUUUUUUGUAGAGAUGGGUUUUCACCAUGUUACCCAGCUGGUCUCGAGCUUCUGGGCUCAAGUCAUUUGCCUGUCUCAGCCUCCCAAAGUGCUGGGAUUACAGGCAUCACUGCACCCCACCUAAAAGUGCCUUAAUUUUAAAAGAAAUACAGGUUUUAUUUGAUAUAUGUCUAGUAUAUUCUUAGGAUUUUUUUUUAACCAAUAAGAACCCCUACCAAUUAUCCCCCAAGAUAUAGAAUUGAUAACCCUAUGUGAUGACUGUAUGUUUUGAACCAAAACCAGGUAUGAUGAAUGGCUAACAGCUCAGGGGCCCUGGAGACACAAGGAAGCCUCACUGGUGAGAGGUGACUGCCUGUGGGCCGCACAGUUUCCUGGAAAGGCAGUGAGAGCAUCUGGUACCUCCAGACACUGCAGAAACAGUGUCACAGAAACAUCUCAGAGGCGUCACUUCUCUUUAUCAAGAUUUUAAAGUGAUUUCAACAUUAAAAAAAAACAACAACAAUGUAAAGAAUUUGAGUGUGGAGUGAUGAUCAUGCUUCCAGGUUUAGGAUCAGGCUCUUUCUCCCAUUGUCUUGUUGAUUUAAGGUGCAGGAACUCCUGGGAUGGUGUUGCCCAGUGACACAAUCCCAGUGUGGCCAUUUCUGAUCCUGAGAAAGCAGUCAGGAGUGGGUGGAUGCAGUUACAGUUCAUCAAGUCCUGCUAGUUCAAGUCAUGAGUCCUGAAUUCUCCAGGAGGAGCCACUAAAGAAAUGCAAAAGCAGGCAAUCCUUGCAAUAAAGUGGGAUGAGGUUCUUUGGUUGCUGCUGUUAUGGGGGUGGAGUGCAUGUUGGGGCCUGGGGAGUGAGGCUGAGGGCUCCCCCAGUCUGUCCCUCCCUGAGCCUGAGCUCUUGGUUCCCACCCAGUCCUUUGUUUCUUUCGUCUCUAGGAGCACCUGCACCCCUGGUUUGCAGCAUGUCCUAAGAUGAGUUACCAUGAGCCCCAGGUUCCCAUAUGUAAAGGAUGGGCAGCGCUUCCUCACCUGCUUCUCCACUGAGCCCUUACAGAGCCCUCAGAUGGAGACUGCUGCUUUCACGUCUUGCAGGCCAGCAAACUGCCAGUGUGAAGGAUGCCCAGGUAACCCGCCCACGCCAGAAUGGCCAGGAGAUGGUGGAACCAGAAUCUAAGCCCACGCCCAUCUGACUUCAAAGUCUGUGCUCCUGAUGUUUGCACCGAGUCACCUCCUAAGACUUGCUGCAACUGGAUCACGUCCAUUUACCUAUCUCUGAGAGAAAUGCAAGCUUUAAAAAAGGAAAUAUUUACUAUGGAUAUUUUACAAUAGUUCCAAAACAUGAAAGCUUUAAAUAAGAUAUUCUUAACCAUCCUCACCACAUCUUCAGGUUCCCUUACAGCCACUUUGUUUUGAUGAUUGCCCAUUAGAAAAAAAGGCUAUGCUUUCUGUAGGUUUUAAAGGAAUGGUGGUGAAAUAGGGAGCAUUCCCUGAGCAGAUCCUGCCUGCGGGCACAUCUCUGAGCAUUGGACCAGGCGAGAAGAGCCCAUGUGUUGGCUGCUUUGGGAUCCCAGCACUGCCAAUGGCAGGUGGGCUGUGACCCAGGGAGAGAACCUAGCCUUUUGCAUUCUCUUGCCCCAUUUGAAAAUGGAGAUGAUAGUGGCGCCCCGCUCAGUGUUAUUUUGAGGAUUCGAAUGUGUCUCAGACGUAGUACCUGAAAAAAUAUAAGUGCUCAGUAAAUACGGUUGCCAGAUAAAAUGCAGGAAACCUAUUUAAAUUUAAGUUUUGGCUGGACAAUGAAUAGAAUAAUUUUUCUUAGUAUGAGUAUGUCCUUAUAUUUUAUCUGCUAAAUUUAGCAACCUCCUCAGUAAAUGAUCACUACAAUUGCAAAAACUCCUUAUGACAGAUAUAGUAAAUCUGUAAAGAAAUAGGAACUUGCAUUUAUUUUUACUAAGCUCUGACUGGUUAAGAUAACUGGGCAAGAGAAGACAUCUUCGACUAAACUUGCAGCAUAUAGAGUAUAGAGAUUCAAAUUUGAAGUCCUAUAGGACUAGAAUGGCCAGAGGUGAACUGUAGUGAGCUUAUCUAAAGAGUACCAAUUUCAAAAGUUCCUCAGAGACUUAAAUGGGCCCACAGACCCCUCCUGUGUCUUUGCAUAAGCCAGCUCAUUAUAUCAGUUAUAAAUUGAUUUCCAGAGAAAUGUACCCUGGAGGUCCCUCUCCCACUUGAGAUAGGACUGGCCAAUCCAGAUGUCCCCCAGGUGAUGUUGGCUCAAAUAUAGCUCCAUAAAUUGGAGAAUCUAUUCAAGAAAACAAGCAAAAGUAUUUGUGACUGAGUUAGCUAAUGCCAGCUGGUAUCUUGAACAAACCCAGAUCUCUAACAUGCUAGUUUAUUUCAUAGUGUAAAAUGUGUGUUACUGAUGGGCAGACAGCUCUCAUUCAGGCAGUGACAGAUGCAAGCUCUUCCCAUUUUUGUGGCCCCAUUGUAUUCAGCUUGUGGCUUCCAAGGUGCCUGGGAUCAUCUCCACCGAGACUAAGGAAGAGGAAAGAGCUUGGACAACUGCACUUGGCUGGUUUUUCUGGAUCAGGCAAGGAAUUGGCUCCAACGCAUUAGCUCACAUUCCAUUGGUUAGAACUGGGUUUCUCAACUAUUAGUACAGGGUGAGUGUAGGAUUUUGGUACCAUGGGCAUUUGAGCUGGCCAAAGGCUAAUCAGAGUUAGAACAAAGCCACAAAGCCUGUGAAUGGUGUUUAUUGUUGUGAGGGGCUGUCUUGUGCAUUGUGGAAUGUUCAGCAGGAUGCUCUCUGGCCUCAGAGACUCACUAGAUUCCCAUAGAACCCUCCUGUCUCCUCCAGUUGUGACAACCACAGUUGCCUCCUCUCCAGACAUUGCUAGAUGUCCCCGGGAGGCAAAAUUGUCCUGGUUGAGAACCACUGUGUUAGAACUCGGUCACAUGGCCACACCUAACUGCGAGGGAGGCUGGAAGAUCUAGACGAGUAGUAUCCCAGGAAGAAAAUAAAACUGAUUUAGAGGCUGCUGGCCAGUCACUUUCAGUGACCUUGAGCAUACUUAUUCCUCUUCAGCUGUCAGGACACUCAUGCCUGUUUCUGAGAUGUUUUCUGUGUGAGGGGACAUAGUGACAAGUGGAGGGGUGACAUGUUGGACUUGGGUAGGGUGAAGAGGAUUGGAAACCACCAUCAUGUUUGGCAGCAUUGAAUGUUUAUGACUAUUUGAAUAGUUGUGACAAGGGUACAGUGAAGGAGGAAAUAAACAUUUUUGAAUACCCCUUUACAAUUUGCAAAGCACUUUUAAAGGUAAGAGUGAGUUCCUAGACCAUAUUAGGGUGAGAAUGGACAUUGUUGGCUGCCGUAUCACUGGGCAGGGGCUUUGAGAUUUUUGUCUUCAAAAGGCAGAUUAGAUUUGGACUAGAAGGAGAAAUGUAAAGACCUGGUAUCUGAGUGUGUUUGCAGAGGGGAAUUGUCAUUUGGAAGCCCAAGAAAGGGGAUGGCCCAUUGGCACAUAUGGUACAUUGUGUUUUCAUAUAAUUAUACCUGAAUGAAAGCAAGAGGAAACGUGUAGGAAGCUGUUUACAUAGUCCUUUUAAUAAUGUUUACAUGAGUUAAUGAACAUGCAAACGUAUCUGAUGAAAACAUGUCAGUAGUGAAACAGCCUUGUGAAGAAUCAGAUCUUACCUCAGGCUGGAAAAAAGGACUGCUUUUCCAAGCUCACAUAUUGCAGCCAGUGUGAACAGUAGCACAAAUGACUUUGAGCUUUAAGACAUCCAUCCAUCCAUCCAUCUAUCCAUCCCCUCAUCCGUCCAUCCCCUCAUCCAUCCAUUUAUCCCUUCAUCCAUCACUCCAUCCAGCCAUCCAUCCCUUCAUCAAUCCAUCCAUCCCUUCAUCCAUCCAUCCAUCCCUUCAUCCAUCCAUCCAUCCAUCCCUUCAUCCAUCCAUCAAUCCAUCCAUCCAUCCAUCCUUCCUUCCAUUCUUCCCUUCAUCCAUGCGUCCAUCCAUCCACUCAUUCAUCCCUUCAUCCAUCCAUCCAUUCCUUCAUCCACUCAUCCCUUCAUCCAUCGUCUACCAUUCAUUUGCCCCUUCAUCCAUCCAUUCAUUUAUCCAUCCAUCCAUCCAUUUACAUUCAUCCAUCCCUUUAUCCAUCCAUUCACCCAUUCAUCCCUUUAUCCAUCUAUCCAUUCCUCCAUCCAUCCAUCCAUCCAUCCAUUUAUCUAUUCAUCCCUUCAUCCAUUCUUCCAUCCAUUCAUCCAUUCAUCUUUUCAUUCAUCCAUCCAUUGCUCACUCCAUCCAUCCAUUGCUCCAUCCAACCAUCCAUCCAUCCAUUCAUCCCUUCAUCCAUCCAUCCAUUCAUCCCAUCAUCCAUCGAUCACUUCAUCCAUCCAUCCAUCCAUCCUUCCAUCCAUCCUUCCAUUCAUCAUCCAUGUGUUCAGCAAGUAUUUACUGAACACCUAUUAUGUGCGAAGCACUCUCCUCAGAACUUAGGAAAUACCAGUAAACAAAAUCAACAACAAUCCUUCACCACCUGGAUGUUACAUUUUGAUGGGAAGAGAGAAAGAAAUAAAAUUGGUGAGUGAAUCACAUAGGUUAUUAGAAGGUGAUAAAGGUGUAGGUGAUAAAGGAGAAGUGCCAGGAGCAAGGAUUGGGUACAGUUGUGAAUAAGGUGGCCCCAAUAGGUUGCACUGAGAAGGUGACAUUUGCACAGAGACUUGAAGAAAGCAAGGAGAGAACAUGACUGUACCUGGGGAACAGCAUUUGUGGAAGAUGGAACAGCCAGUGCAAAAGUUCCAAGGCAUGAGUGCCUGGUGCAUACACGGAACAUCGAGGCCAGGGUGGCAGAAACGCGGUGAGUCCAGGAAGGGAAUAGGAAAUAAGUGUAGGAAGGUGUACAGUGGGGUGGUGUGGGGGUGGAAUUGUGGCAGCCAGAUGGUGUUGGCAUAAGGCCUCUUGGCCCUUGUUAGGACUUGAUUUACCAUGGUGCAACACACCCAUGAGAUUGGCAAAAAUUAAAAAGUCUGACAACAGAAAAUCUGGAAAUCUGGUGAGGAUGUGGAGCAGUGGGAAUUCUCCAAUACUGCCAGGGGGCAUGGGCAUCAAUCCCACCACACUGGAAGGCAAAGGGGCAUUCUCAGUAGAACUGAAGAUGUGCCCAUCCUUGACCCCACAGUUCCAGCCGUGGGCAUGCGAAUGAAUGUGCACACGUGUUGACUGCGGCAUUUGUUUGUAAUUAUGAAAACAUCUAAGUUUCCAUCUAUGGGAGAGGGGAUAAUGUGGGAGUGCCCUACAGUGGAGUUCUAGAGAGCAGUAAAAAUAAAUGGACUAGAGCUGUACACGUCAAAAUGGAUGAAGAUAAAAGACAUAAGGAUGGGAGAAGAACACCUGGCCACAGAAGUAUAUGUCCAAUAUGAUGCUGGUGUAUCCAGAGUGUUCAAACAAACAACACAACACUACUCAUUGUUUCCAACAUGAGUAUGAAAGUAUGGAGCAGUGUCGAGGGCCAGAAGUGCUGAGUCCAGAUGGUUACUUCUCCAGGCGGGGGCCGAGGACCAGGGCUGGAGGUUUACUCCAGGAGCUUCAGUGGUGCAUGCCGAAUGUGCUGUUUCUUGGGCUGGGGGACAGAGAUGUGCAUGCUGUUAUACACUCUAUAUUGAAAUGAUUAUAUAACAAUAUACUAAUUUAUCAUGUAAUAAAUUUGACCAGAAAAAAAAAAAA